rnacentral:tRNA from 1 species
CAAAAACAGUUUUAGAAACAUUAAYUUUGGGAGUUAAAAGAUGAGUAGCCUCAUUUUUGA